UACAGAGGGUGCAAGCGUUGUUCGGAAUUAUUGGGCGUAAAGGGCGCGUAGGCGGUGCGGUAAGUCUUUUUGUGAAAUCUCCGGGCUCAACUCGGAGUCUGCAGGAGAAACUGCCGUGCUUGAGUAUGGGAGAGGUGAGUGGAAUUCCUGGUGUAGCGGUGAAAUGCGUAGAUAUGUGGAGGAACACCGAUGGCGAAGGCAGCCCCCCUGGGAUAAUACUGACGCUCAUGCACGAAAGCGUGGGGGAGCAAACAGGG
rnacentral:rRNA from 1 species